AUGGCGGUGGAGUGGUCGGACGGCGGCGAGGAGUUCCUGCUUCCCGACGAGUUCUUGGACGACGACUUCUUCUCCGAGGAGGAGAAGGCCGCGGUGGCCGCGCGGAGCGAGAGUGAUGAGGAAGACAGCUUGGCCGGCCUCUCGCGCCGCCUAGCCGGCCUCCUCGGCGGCGACAAACUCGCCGUCACGCCUGCCAAGGAGGAGGUGACUGCGGGGUCGCCGAAGUCGACGCUGUGUGGGCUGCCUAAGUCGGGCCAGGAGAGCCCCAACAGCGGCGCGUCCCAGGGGAACUCGCCGCCGUCGUCCCCGCUGGAGCAGCAGCCGGCAGACCCGUGGGACGUCCUCUACGAGGCUGCCUGGCAGGUCAACAGCAUCCCGGCGCCGGGCCACCCCUACGUCUUGCACGGCCGCGGUGGCUUCGUGCCGCCUGCGCGGAAGGCCUCGCCUCCGCCGCCGCCGCCUCACGUGCCUGCGCCGGCCGGCACGGCCGCGGGCGGCGUGUACUACCACCCUUUCGCGCACCUCAUCACGCAGCGCCAGAUACAGGCUGCCAGGUUUCAUCUCCUCAAACAGCAGCAGCUCUUCAAGCAGCAGAGGGACCGGCAGCUGGCCGCGGCCGCCGCAUGGGGCGUGCGCCGUAACGCGGCAGCCAAGAGGGCCGGCGCCGCUCCUAUCGACCUGAGCCCGGCGUCGUUCCCGCCGCUGCUGAAGACGCAGCUGCAGCACACGCCUGCACCCCAUCCCACCCAUCCCGCCGCCGCCGGCAUGCGGGCCGUGUUCCUCACGCCGCCCGGUGCCAAGCGCGAGCGCAACGGCACCGGCGUCUUCCUCCCGCGCCCGGCCGGCGCCCCCGCGGAGCCCAGGAAGAAGUCUGGCUGCUCGACGGUUCUUGUCCCCGCCCGUGUCGUGCAUGCUCUGAAUCUCAACCUGGACGACCUCGGCGCCCAGCCUCGCUACGCCGGCGGCAUCGUUCUUGAUCAUGAGGCCUUGAUCAGUCGGAGCAACGCCAUGCUCGCAAGCCAGAAGAUGCGGGCUGCGGAGAGCUCGGCGCCGCCGGCGCUCUGCCACAGUUCGUGA
rnacentral:rRNA from 1 species